rnacentral:miRNA from 13 species
GCGGAAACACUUCCGGACAGGC